ACAAUAGUAAUCCUGCUUGGUAUGAGAGGAACCACAGUUUCAGAUUCCUGAUAGCUGAGGAACCACUGUUGUGAGGCUACCAUAUGUGGGCCUAUGAUCGAACGCCUCUAAGUCAGAAUCUCGCCUAGACAGU
rnacentral:ncRNA from 1 species